GAGGCUUGAAAUCAAUCACAUGAAUUGGGCUAGAGCAAGGCCAGCCCCAAGAACACAGAGCAUCCAAGGUGAGCCAGAUAAACAAGCUAUUCCAGCCCCAAAAACACAAGAUGCUCAAGGCAAGUCAGGUAAAGAAGUCGUUAGGCAGAGGAAUUUCUCCUCCCAUCAACCUCUUGAGUGUAUAAAUAAGUGUACCGCAGUUGUUGGAUGUUCUGUUUCUCCCACCAGGAGAGGAGGCUCCACCUGACCUCAGCUUUCCACAUUUUGAUUCUUGUUUUCCUCUCUUCAUCCUCAACCAUCCUUCUGAGAAUUUCAAGAGCUGUUCUUGAUGCAACACAGCAAUAUAGAAGGAGCAGCACUGAUCAGCACCAAGAGCUUCCUCAGCUCACAGCUCACGUUAACCCCUCUCCAGUAGUGCUCACCUGGUCAUCAGGAAACCUCCGAACUCCUCCUCCCCAAGCCAUCAACAGCACAGGUGAAGUAAAGCAGACUCUGUAGCCCUGUUGCAUAUUGGUCUGCGUCGCACUUAAAAUAGCACCUCUGUUACUGGCCAGGUAGAAAGUGAGCCACCAGGUACCCAGAGGGAGCUGGAGUGUGCUGCUAACAGCCAGGGUAGAGGCGAGCAGUGCAGUGGCCCAGGCUGUAUGGAAACUUGAAAUCCUGUUGCCUCCUCUUUCCAGAGUGCUAGAGCUGCAGGUGUGUGUACCCUCGCAGCUCAGGGUAGUAUUUUUCCAAAAUUUAAGCUGACCAAGUCCUUUUCAACUGCAUGGGGUAAAAGAAUAAAUAUUUAUUUCAAGAUUAAAACUGAUAUUUUCAAAAUUUCUCCUUAAAUUAGUAAUAAUAAAAGUUCACUAAAAUACUAAUUUAAAAAUAGGAUACACAAACUCUCCUCAUUUUAAAUAGUAUUAAAGACAUGAUAAAUAUUGAUGAAAUGUAUAUUAUGUACAACUGGUUCCGUGCAUUAAAACCAAAACCAAUAAACCAGCUUUGGUACCACGCACUUUUAUUCCUAGCACUUGGCAGGAUUUGAGGCAGGAGGAUUGCUGUGUGUUGUGAGGCCAGCCUGGACUACGCAGUGAGUUCAAGGUCAGCCUGGACCCUAUAUCAAAAAAUACUAACAUAAAAACGAAGAGAAAUUCAUAUCGAAAGAAAAAAAUUGUUUAUUUUUUCAGGCAAGGUCUUGCUAUAUAGUUCAGAGUUGCAGUGAAUCCACUUAUGUAGCCCAAACUGGUCUUGAAAUCAUAGCGAUCCUCUUGACUCAGCCACUAUCCCCAGCUCACAUUUCCUUGUGUGAAUUGCAGAAUGCAAAUUUUUCAGAAGGCACAAAUGCUCUUCUAUUUAAACUUCUAUAAUGGCACAAAUUUACACAUAAACCCACAAGAUUAUGAUACUUAGCCACAGGCUGGGUGACACAUAACUUGGGACACAGCACACUGCACUGCCAGUUUCAGGAGAAGGACCACCUUCUGUCCCCAGGCAGAUCCUGCUGAUGACAGGCCAGGCAUGGCCCAGGACCUCCUUGCUGUAGAGUGAGAUUUCUUCUCCUUCAGACCAUUAGAAGGUCUCACUUCUCCUGCGCAUCCUGUAUAAUUUCUUUAAUUGACCCCGGCUCAGGCUAGCCUCAUCCUUGUCUACCAGCUGAGGCAUGGCAUCUCAGGCAUCAUUGCCACAGGACUGAACGUCAGCUUCUUGCUUGGUAGAACCAACCCCUCUGUGUCUAGGACCUUUAUGCACAUGGACAACAUGUUCUUGAACCCAGAUAGGGCACUCAGUGUUCUCUGGAAACACACAAACAUACCCUCAGCCUCAUAUGAGUAUUGGGCUGAGUCCUUUCCAUUAUUCAGCGUAAAUACCUGUCCAAAGGACCCUUCCUAACUUCCUUUCCUUACCCAGUUGAACUGUUUUUCUGUUGCUGUAGUCCCAUCCCUGCUAGAAUUUAGAAAGCUACUGGUAUAUAAUUCUGUGAUAGUUGAUACAUUGUGUCAAUUUGAGAAGUUUAAAAUCUUCAAUAAGGGCCUCAGCAGGAAGCCAGGAUCCUUACUUUGUAGAUAUCCUCAGGCUGUGCAAGAGAAGGACACAGAAGUGGUGUGAGUGCUACACUGCCCUGGGUGGUAGAGGUGGACUGAUUACAAUAUAAGGAAGAAGAGGCUCGUUUCCCCAUCCUUUUAUUAUGGCUUUUACUGGCUGCUGCCAUGAACUCUUGCUCCCUGCCAACCUGCUUGGAGCCAGCUGAUUAUGGACUGAAACCUCCACAAACUGGGAGCUAAAUAAAUCUUUCCUCUCUUCA